AAAGCAGGCGAGGUGGUUGCGAUCGGAUCCCUUCGAUCCGAUUGAGGAAAGUCCGGGCUCCCAGAUGGCCAGGCUUGCUGGGUAACGCCCAGUGCGGGUGACCGUGAGGAGAGUGCCACAGAAACACACCGCCGAUGGCCCUAUGGGGAUUCCCCCAGGCACAGGCAAGGGUGCAAAGGUGCGGUAAGAGCGCACCAGCAGCAUCGAGAGGUGCUGGCUCGGUAAACCCCGGCU
rnacentral:RNase_P_RNA from 1 species